GAUGAACGCUGGCGGCGUGCCUAAUACAUGCAAGUCGAGCGAACGGGCGAGAAGCUUGCUUCUCUGAUGUUAGCGGCGGACGGGUGAGUAACACGUGGAUAACCUACCUAUAAGACUGGGAUAACUUCGGGAAACCGGAGCUAAUACCGGAUAAUAUUUUGAACCGCAUGGUUCAAAAGUGAAAGACGGUCUUGCUGUCACUUAUAGAUGGAUCCGCGCUGCAUUAGCUAGUUGGUAAGGUAACGGCUUACCAAGGCAACGAUGCAUAGCCGACCUGAGAGGGUGAUCGGCCACACUGGAACUGAGACACGGUCCAGACUCCUACGGGAGGCAGCAGUAGGGAAUCUUCCGCAAUGGGCGAAAGCCUGACGGAGCAACGCCGCGUGAGUGAUGAAGGUCUUCGGAUCGUAAAACUCUGUUAGUAGGGAAGAACAUGUGUGUAAGUAACUGUGCACAUCUUGACGGUACCUAAUCAGAAAGCCACGGCUAACUACGUG
rnacentral:rRNA from 1 species